rnacentral:ncRNA from 1 species
GCCUGGGCAGGGCGAAGCCAGAGGAAACUGGUGAAGGUCCAUUGCGGUCCUGACGUGCAGGUCAGUCGUCCGACUAUGGU